AGCAGCCGCGGUAAUUCCAGCUCCAAUAGCGUAUAUUAAAGUUGUUGCAGUUAAAAAGCUCGUAGUUGAAUUUCGGAAUCUGUCCGUUGGUCGGGCUUCAUUGUCCGUACUGAUGUGAUGGGUUCUUACCUUCUGAAUAACCAGCAUGUCAUUAAUUUGGUGUGUUGGGGAAGCAGGACUAUUACCUUGAAAAAAUUAGAGUGCUCAAAGCAGGCUAGUGCCUGAAUACAUUAGCAUGGAAUAAUAAAAUAGGACGGCAUGGUUCUAUUUUGUUGGUUUCUAGGAUCACCGUAAUGAUUAAUAGGGAUAGUUGGGGGCAUUAGUAUUCAAUUGUCAGAGGUGAAAUUCUUGGAUUUAUUGAAGACUAACUUCUGCGAAAGCAUUUGCCAAGGAUGUUUUCAUUAAUCAAGAACGAAAGUUAGGGGAUCGAAGACGAUCAGAUACCGUCGUAGUCUUAACCAUAAACUAUGCCGACUAGGGAUCGGACGAUGUUAAUUUUAUAAUGACUCGUUC
rnacentral:rRNA from 1 species